CAAAGGCCUGAGAACCUGAGGGUCGCUGGUGCAAAUCAGGAGGCUGAAUGCUGGAGACCCUGGAGUUCCAAUAAGCAGAAGAAGGGUGUCCCAGCUCUGGAGGAGGGAGGGAAUUCACCUUUCCUCUUUUUGCUCUAUAUGGGUCUUCAAUGGAUUGGACAGUGUCACCUAUAUUGGGUGAGAGUGAACCUUCCUUUCUCAGUCUACUGACUCAAAUGCCAGUCUAUAUGCCAAAAUCCCUAGCAGAAGAAAUCCAUUCAUUGCACUGGCAGUGCCAAGAGUGGGGUGGUCCAGUACCUCUUUAAAGUCUAAAUUAAUGCAAAAAAAUCACAAUGAAUAAAAUAACAAAAUGAGAACAAAGAUGAGAUUCUAAUUUCCAAUUUUUCCUUUAGUGUUCUUACUAUCUGCAUUUUAUAAAUGAGGAAGCAAGGUCCUGAGGCACUCUCACACAGCUGGCAAGGGGCAAGCCAGGACGUGCUAGCUGCUGUCCGAUUAGGAAAGGCAGAGGCAGACAAGCCUCGCAUAUUUGGGACUUGGCGUCACACACCUUUCAGACUGGCUAAAAUUAAGCCUGACAAUACAAGUUCAAUUUCAAGAGAGUGAUUGCAAUUGAGAAGGAUGUACUCUGGAGACCUUAGAGUUACUGGUAAUGUUCUAUUGCUCAAGCUGCAGGGUGGAUACACAGGUGUUCACAGAGUUAUUGUUACUGUUCAAAUCACACAUGCAGAUAUUACUAUAUAUUUAUUCAUAUGCUUGAAAUAUAUUUUCUAAUAAAAAAUUAAGGGGUGUGGAUGAAAUGGCAGAAGGCAU
rnacentral:lncRNA from 1 species